GACGAACGCUGGCGGCGUGCUUAACACAUGCGAGUCGAACGGAGAGGCCCUGCUUUUGUGGGGUGCUCGAGUGGCGAACGGGUGAGUAACACGUGAGUAACCUGCCCUUGACUUUGGGAUAACUUCAGGAAACUGGGGCUAAUACCGGAUAGGAGCUCCUGCUGCAUGGUGGGGGUUGGAAAGUUUCGGCGGUUGGGGAUGGACUCGAGGCUUAUCAGCUUGUUGGUGGGGUAGUGGCUUACCAAGGCUUUGACGGGUAGCCGGCCUGAGAGGGUGACCGGCCACAUUGGGACUGAGAUGCGGCCCAGACUCCUACGGGAGGCAGCAGUGGGGAAUAUUGCACAAUGGGCGGAAGCCUGAUGCAACAACGCCGCGUGCGGGAUGACGGCCUUCGGGUUGUAAACCGCUUUCGCCUGUGACGAAGCGUGAGUGACGGUAAUGGGUAAAGAAGCACCGGCUAACUACGUG
rnacentral:rRNA from 1 species